rnacentral:rRNA from 1 species
UACGUAGGGCGCAAGCGUUUGUCCGGAAUUAUUGGGCGUAAAGAGCUCGUAGGCGGUUUGUCGCGUCUGCCGUGAAAGCCCGGGGCUUAACUCCGGGUCUGCGGUGGAUACGGGCAGACUAGAGGCAGGUAGGGGGAGAACGGAAUUCCCGGUGUAGCGGUGAAAAUGCGCAGAUAUCGGGAGGAACACCGGUGGCGAAGGCGGAUCUCUGGGCCAUUACUGACGCUGAGGAGCGAAAGCGUGGGGAGCGAACAGG